rnacentral:rRNA from 1 species
GAUGAACGCUAGCGGGAGGCCUAACACAUGCGAGCCGAGCGGUAUUUGUUCUUCGGAGCAGAGAGAGCGGCGCACGGGUGCGGAACACGUGUGCAACCUGCCUUUAUCUGGGGGAUAGCCUUUCGAAAGGAAGAUUAAUACCCCAUAAUAUAUUGAGUGGCAUCAUUUGAUAUUGAAAACUCCGGUGGAUAGAGAUGGGCACGCGCAAGAUUAGAUAGUUGGUGAGGUAACGGCUCACCAAGUCAAUGAUCUUUAGGGGGCCUGAGAGGGUGAUCCCCCACACUGGUACUGAGACACGGACCAGACUCCUACGGGAGGCAGCAGUGAGGAAUAUUGGACAAUGGGUUAGCGCCUGAUCCAGCCAUCCCGCGUGAAGGACAACGGCCCUACGGGUUGUAAACUUCUUUUGUAUAGGGAUAAACCUACUCUCGUGAGAGUAGCUGAAGGUACUAUACGAAUAAGCACCGGCUAACUCCGUG